AUGAGAUUUCAGGUUUAUGUUACAGCAGUUUGCUUUACCCUAAACAUAUACCUAUACUUAAGUUACACUUAACUUCUUAACUUCUCUAAACUUUACUUGCCUCUUCAGGAUCAUUCUAGCACCUACCUUCCAUAGGGCUGUUAAGAGGAUUAGAAGAGAAGCAAUGAAUGCAAACUACACUACUGCACAGUGCCUGGCAAAAACUGGAAUGAACCAUGUGAGUCCACAACUGGUUUGGCAUGUGCAGCAGAGUUGUUAUCUAAGUGCGGCCUGAGGGACCAGAGCCUGACUGCAGAGCAUGUGGGAGAGAAUGGGAGCAGGAGAGUAGAGACUGACUGUGAGCAACUCUUGUGAGGAGUUUCUGCUGCAAAGAGGGGAAAGAAAUGGGGGAGAGCACUCAGCAAGAAAAGGUGGGAGAAGAAUCUGCUCCAAGGGGAAGAGAUGGGAUCAAUUCACCAACAGAAAAUGUUGUCUAACCAGGAAGCAAGAUGGCCCUUCCCAGGAUGCUGAUGAGCCACCAGCAUAUUCUUUGUUUUUCCUCAUCCUGUGGGGAAGACCACUCAGCCUUCCCAACAGAACUCUCAAUUAAUACAUCGAAUCUUUGCUAUUUUUAUGUCAAGAGAUAUGCAGAAAGUACUUUAACUCAGGUCAAAAAAGCUCAAAUUAAUUUCACAGACACCUUUUAAAUGGAUUGCAAAUGGAAGAGGAAUGGAAAGGGGGUAUAUGACCUUCUAGAUAAAGUGGCAGACCCAGUUCCAGCCCUCACUGUCAAAUCCUAUUUCAUCUAGAUAGGUUCAAUUCAACUGGGUGUAGUUUGGUAUGGUUAUCUUGUUGGGUCCCCCAAUAAUGGGUCCGUGAUUAAAGGAGUG